rnacentral:rRNA from 1 species
UGGGGGAUAUUGCACAAUGGGCGAAAGCCUGAUGCAGCGACGCCGCGUGGGGGAUGAAGGCCUUCAGGUUGUAAACUUCUUUUGCUCUGAACAAGGCAUGCCUUUGGGGUGUGUUGAGUGUAGGGGUUGAUUAGCGCCGGCUAACUACGUGCCAGCAGCCGCGGUAAUACGUAGGGCGCGAGCGUUGUCCGGAAUUAUUGGGCGUAAAGGGCUUGUAGGUGGCUGGUUGCGUCUGUCGUGAAAGCUCAUGGCUUAACUGUGGGUUUGCGGUGGGUACGGGCUGGCUUGAGUGCAGUAGGGGAGGCUGGAAUUCCUGGUGUAGCGGUGGAAUGCGCAGAUAUCAGGAGGAAUACCGGUGGCGAAGGCGGGUCUCUGGGCUGUUACUGACGCUGAGGAGCGAAAGCGUGGGGAGCGAACAGG